ensembl:lncRNA
CCUGAACAAUUGGGCAUGUUGAGAUUGGCUGAAGAAAUUGUAUAUGUGACAGAAGGAGUAACAAUAUCAUGAACUAAACUCAAUGAAUUUAAGGAAAAUUCUAGAGACAUCUUUGUGAAUGAAUAUGACCACCCCCUCCAUUAGAACCAUAAUAAAACAUAAGCCAUAAUUUAGUAACCACUCACACCAAAACACUAUUAAGACACACAAGAGAAAAAUAAGUCGUCAAUAAUACAUUCCAAUGAAUGGAAUUCAGUACACUUGACUUACUCAAGUGUGAAAGAACUGGGAUACAAACCUAGAUGCUUGAUAGCCAAAGGAGAACUCUUCUCAAUUAAAAGACAUACUCUGUGGUGAUACUGUUUAACAGAGAAAAUGAAUUUUUAAACGUGGAAACAGAAGAAGAUAUCCAGGUAAGUGAGGAAAAAAGACAAAGAACCAUCAUGGUAAGGGAGUCCAAUUCCUGGGGAUUUUUCUCAUUUGUAUUCUUGAAGGAUUAGUUUAGAGCUGGCUUCUUUGUAUUUUCCUGAAAACUCGGGGAUACAAUGAGGAGGAUGCAAAAGAGGCCUCAAAACAAUGUUUGUAACUUGGAGCUUGCUAGGAGUUGUGUGAGACUCUCAUAAUUUAAACUAAAACUGCCACAGACACAAUUAUGCUUAUUCGUAGGAAUCUGGAAUUAGGGGAAAAAUCCAUUUUCAACACUCUAAUGUGAUGUUAGUUUUUGCAAGUGGAACUAGGAAUAUAUAUAUUCACUCUAACAGGAUUAUUCCUUAUAAUCACUCUUCUCACCCUAAGCAAUUUGAAACACAAGUAAACAAGGUAAAUCAGAGUAUUGUUUCCCCUGAAAUUCUCUUGACAUCUUCUUUCUUGUUCAUCUUUUCAGCUGCCAAGGAAUGAAACUCUGCAUAGAAAAUACCCAAACUUGUAGAUUCAAGUAUAACCUUUCCAGACUAAUGAAUAAAUAUACCAUGGAUUUCGUCCUCUACACAUCAAAAUUACUUUCUCCAACUCCUGGCAUUCAGAUUUUUAUAUAACUCUUAGUGCUCUCCCCCUUACACCUAGAUAGUAACAUACCAGUUACCAAAUCUUGUCAGUUCCACCUCUUCCAUAUCUCUGUAUUUAUUCCUUUCUCUAUUCAUACAGCAAUAUUACACACUCUGCUUUGUGCUCUUAUCACUAUUUGUUUGCACUUUUUUUUUCCAAGAGAGAAAGAAAAAGUUGACUGAGAGCUUUUGAUUUUAAAAAUCAUAAUUUCUUCUGUUUUUCUCCUCCUUCACAGUGAUCCCCACACUCUUUAUAAGAAAUAACAUUUUAAACUAAUAAAAGAGAUAAAAGGGAGGGGAAAUAAUCAACCAAAAUACUCUCAAUGCAUUGAAAUAAAUUUUUAAAAAAUGAGGGGAGAAAGGUUCUAUUGGCAUCUCCUCUUUUGGUCAUACUUUCUCUUGAAAGUUUGCGAAAUUAUCUUCACUGAGAGGAAGAUAUUAAAGACAAAUUUGCACAGAUAUGUCAAUGGGAUUUCCCUUAAGGGCUUGUUAAUUUUGGCUGUUGGACAUUAGCUCUUCUAUUCUUUUACAUGCUUUAAUCUCUGUAACAUUUGUAGCCUCAAUGUUUUUGAAUUUCUUAUCUUUUUUAUUUGGACUACACCCUUAAAAGAAGUUCUUGGAAUGCCUGUCUGGCACUUUAAUCCAUUCUGCCAUGGAAGGGAUACUGAUAAAAAUGUCUAUUAUCUCCUUCAGAAAUCUUUCAGGAGGGAGAGGGGAGAGAGGAAACCCUUGCCAGUGAUAUAAACUCAUAGUAAUCUCAUUUUAAUGAUUUUCUUAUGUUGGCUUGCAUUCUCAUUAAAAUUGUCUUUUACUUCUCUUUGAUUUGAUAAGGUUCUCUUUAUUGUUUAUAAGGUUCUCUUUACUUUGAUAAGCUUUUCUUAUUAGGAAAAUAAGAAUGGUUCAAGGCCUGCCAGGCAAUUGGGUUUUAACUGUAACAAGGAGGGGCAGGCCUUCUUGAAGAAGAUUGGAAUAGAUCAUCACUACCCCAACAGUAAAAAAAUUGCCACACAAGAAAUGAAUUACAUAUAAAGAGGGAUACCACCAGCAAAUUAAGACAUCAAAGAAUAGUUUAUUGAUCAGACUGAUGCAUGGGGAAGAAUUUAGAACCAAAGACAGAGAGCAUUACAAAAUAAAAAUUUGUCAAGUUUAUCUAUGCCAUCUUCAAUUGGUAAAUGUUCAAAAUCUCUGAUCAGACAAUUUUUAGACAAAGAAAUAAGAAUUAUCUAUUGUCAUACAAAAAUAUUCUUAAUCACUAAUGAUCAGAGAGAUGCACAUUCAAACAACUCUGAGUUAUCACCUCACAGUUCUGAGAUUGGCUAAUAUGAGCAAAAAUAGUUGGAUGUUGGAAGGGAUGUGGGAAAAGUGGGACACUACAAGUUCUGUUAUGGAGUUGUAAAUUGAAUCAACCUUUCUGGAGAGCAAUUUGGAACACUAAUCAAAGGGAUAUCAAACCUGCAUCCUCUUUGACACAGCAAUAAUUCUAUUAGGUCUAGAAAAGGAUCUCUUUGUACAAAAAUAUUUAUAGCAGCUCUUUUGGUAGCUAAGAAUUAGAAAUCAAAUGGAAUGCCCAUCAAUUGGAGAAUGGCCAAAGAAGCUGUGGUAUAUGUUUGUAAUGAAAUAUUAUUGUAUUAUGCCCUAAGAAAUGAGAAGCAGGUUAAUUUCAGGAAAAUGUGGUAAGGCCUGAAUUGCUUCAUAGUGAACAGGACCAGGAAGUAGUACAUUGAAACAGGAAUGUUGUUGGAUAAAAAACUUUGACUAACAAAUUGAAUAACAAUUAUUUAACAAAUAUUUUCAAACAAAUCCAAUAAACCAAAAUAAUCCAAAAGAACAAAUGAUGAAAAUAUCUGUCUGCAUAGAAAGAACUGAUCUUGAUUAAAUAUUGACUGAAGCACAGUAUUUUUCAGUUUUUCUUUCUUUCAUUUUUUUCUUUUCUUUUAGUCUUCUUGUGUAAAAUGACUAAAAUGGAAAUAUUUUACAUUAUUGCACAAGUGUAAUUUGAAUCUGAUCGCUUACUAUUUCAGGAAGAAGGGGAAGGAAAGAGAAGUGAGGAAGUCAUAGGAUUUCAAACUCAAAAUUUUAACUAAAAUUCGUUUUUAAAAUAAUAUAUUUUGCUUUAUCUAACAAUGUUUCUUUCCCACAGUUGAACAAUUUAGAAGAAGAAAAAAAAUACAUAAGGUUUGCCAUACGAGUAAAGCUGUUUAGCACAAGAGAAAUUUGGGGAGCAAUAGCAGAUGAAAGAAAAACAUUAAAGGGGCAAAAAGAUUGUGUGGAGUAGAAAUAAAAUGAACUUCUCUCUGUCUCUGUGACCUGCAUAAGUAUGUUGAGUAGUAGCCAAUAUGUGCUUAGAUUUUAGAUAUAUGUAUUUAACCUCGAAUGAUGGCAUUUAUCACUGUUCAAGUUAUCAGGGUUUAGACAAUUAGUUGCCUGAUGUAUGGUGCCUCCUGGAACUAGGGAAUCUCCUUUUUUGUUUUGCCACGAAUAAUAUCCAAUUAAGGGGUGGGGGAGUCACCUAUCUCUUAAUGUUCUCCAAAUCAUGACGUAAUCCUUUGUAACUAAAACCUAUAAAAACUGUAUAUGUUAUCCCUUUUUUUAGCCCUUCUACCGUGAGCUUUCUCUCUUUCCUUCCUCAUGGUGGAAUUGCUCGUUCUCAUAAGAAUUUAUUAAAUAAACAACUUUUCUGCUUUUUACUUUGAGAGGUCUCUGAGUAGUGAUUUUUGGAUAGGAUUUUCUAUCCCUCAUUGUUUUGGGGGCUCAUCCAGGAUGAGUCUUUGAGGGAAAUGGCUGCGCAUCCUGAACAGGGAUAGGCGCUCCCACAGCUAGUUUUUUUGUAGUCUCUGGCUCUGAGUGUGUAGCCUCCCUCCCUUUCUGACAAAUGACCUAAGGCAGAGAUACUCAUUGAAAAGCAGAAUUGAAGACAAAAAGGAGAAAUAGAGUCCUGACGGAUCGGCAGCAGUCUGAAAAGAAAACAUGUGUUCUUGAGGUGAACUUGGGAAGCCUGGGGUCUAUUGGCUAGGUCAAGGGAGACAUGAGGGACUAGCCUUCCUAAAAAUUGCUUUGGUAGACUGCUAUUGACCCCAAUGGUAAAGGACUUUCUAAGGAAUCUCUCGUGACUGCAGGAAUGAGGGUAACAAAGAACCUCCACUGACAAUUUGGUUUGAGACCAAGUUGUAAAAUGGGACAGAAGCAAUCCAAAAUGUAUGUCAGGAUGAUAGCCAGGGAAUUCCAGUCGAUAGCCCACUUGGGAGUCGACUCAGAGACUGGGAUAAAUUACCCAGGUAUAAAGGGAAAGACAAGAAGAUAAUGAUUAAAUAUUGUUGUUUUGUUUGGGGCAAUCAAAAUAUUGGUGGUGGAAAUAAUUUGGCCAAACUAUGGUUCUGCUGAGGAUUUGAUAUGCCAACAAUUAAAUAUAUAUGUGAAUAAUAGAGAUCCAUCUAACCCAGAGGAAUCGGUUUAUGCUACCCUCUGGCUGCCAGGAGUUGCUAGAGUUAUGAGAAUUUUUCUAUGCGAAACGAAGGAAGGGAGUAAACCUAAUAAGGGAAAAGAGAAAGUAGAUAACAACCUGGAAUCUGAAGUUGGACAGUAAGAACCCCUUGCUGCCCUUCCACCUCCUUAUGCUGUGCCCCUCUUGCACCACCAGAGGAAGAUAUUUUGCCUCCUCCUCCCCCUCCUGUAGAGGCAGUGGAUUUAGGUCAGGAGGGUGUAGGCAGAGCUCACAGUGACUCAUACAAAAAUCUAAGAAAAGAAUUAGAGCAAUUAAGACAGGAUGUUCAGAAUCUCUUUCUUAGAGAGAAAAUGGAGCUGGGGCCAGUAGCUAAUAAAGUACAGAAUAUAUAUCCACUUAGAGAUGUUCCAUUAGGCGGGGCUCAGGGAGGUAUUGGAUUUGUAGAUGCACCUCUGUCAGGGAAUGAUGUUAGAAAAUUUAAGAAUGAAUUAGUUUCUCUCAUGGAAGAUUUGAUUGGGGCAUCCAAACAAUUGGAUCAACUUUUAGGCCCCAGCUUAAAUACUUGGUCAAUUGAUGCAUAUCUUAUCCAUAUUAUUCACUUGAGCACAGGCUAUGCGGGAAUGGGAGAGGAGGCACCCACCCCUGAAUGAGGGAGCAAUCCCAGCAGAGCAGAAAUAUCCAGUG